CAGCCGCCGCGGGAAUACCGAGGGUGCAAGCGUUAAUCGGAAUUACUGGGCGUAAAGCGCGCGUAGGUGGUUUGUUAAGUUGGAUGUGAAAUCCCCGGGCUCAACCUGGGAACUGCAUCCAAAACUGGCAAGCUAGAGUAUGGUAGAGGGUGGUGGAAUUUCCUGUGUAGCGGUGAAAUGCGUAGAUAUAGGAAGGAACACCAGUGGCGAAGGCGACCACCUGGACUGAUACUGACACUGAGGUGCGAAAGCGUGGGGAGCAAACAGGAUUAGAUACGCCUGUAGUCCCUGUCUCUUAUAC
rnacentral:rRNA from 1 species